rnacentral:rRNA from 1 species
UACGGAGGGUGCGAGCGUUGUCCGGAAUUACUGGGCGUAAAGGGCGCGUAGGCGGCGCAGGAAGUCAACGGUGAAAGUUCGGGGCUCAACCCUGAAUCGGCCGUCGAUACUCCUGGGCUCGAGCACUGUAGAGGCAGAUGGAAUUCCGGGUGGAGCGGUGAAAUGCGUAGAGAUCCGGAGGAACACCAAGGGCGAAGGCAAGGUCCUGGCUGGUCACUGACGCUCGGGUGCGAAAGCCAGGGGAGCGAACGGG